AACGAACGCUGGCGGCAGGCUUAACACAUGCAAGUCGAGCGCCCCGCAAGGGGAGCGGCAGACGGGUGAGUAACGCGUGGGAAUCUACCGUGCCCUACGGAAUAGCUCCGGGAAACUGGAAUUAAUACCGUAUACGCCCUACGGGGGAAAGAUUUAUCGGGGUAUGAUGAGCCCGCGUUGGAUUAGCUAGUUGGUGGGGUAAAGGCCUACCAAGGCGACGAUCCAUAGCUGGUCUGAGAGGACGAUCAGCCACAUUGGGACUGAGACACGGCCCAAACUCCUACGGGAGGCAGCAGUGGGGAAUAUUGGACAAUGGGCGCAAGCCUGAUCCAGCCAUGCCGCGUGAGUGAUGAAGGUCUUAGGAUUGUAAAGCUCUUUCACCGGUGAAGAUAAUGACGGUAACCGGAGAAGAAGCCCCGGCUAACUUCGUGCCAGCAGCCGCCGCCG
rnacentral:rRNA from 1 species